rnacentral:rRNA from 1 species
UAGGGAAUCUUCGGCAAUGGGGGGAACCCUGGCCGAGCAACGCCGCGUGAGUGAAGAAGGUUUUCGGAUCGUAAAGCUCUGUUGUUAAGGAAGAACGUGUGUGAGAGUGGAAAGUUCACACAGUGACGGUACUUAACCAGAAAGGGACGGCUAACUACGUGCCAGCAGCCGCGGUAAUACGUAGGUCCCGAGCGUUGUCCGGAUUUAUUGGGCGUAAAGCGAGCGCAGGCGGUUAGAUAAGUCUGAAGUGAAAGGCAGUGGCUCAACCAUUGUAGGCUUUGGAAACUGUUUAACUUGAGUGCAGAAGGGGAGAGUGGAAUUCCAUGUGUAGCGGUGAAAUGCGUAGAUAUAUGGAGGAACACCGGUGGCGAAAGCGGCUCUCUGGUCUGUAACUGACGCUGAGGCUCGAAAGCGUGGGGAGCGAACAGGAUUAGAUACCCUGGUAGUCCACGCCGUAAACGAUGAGUGCUAGGUGUUAGGUCCUUUCCGGGACUUAGUGCCGCAGCUAACGCAUUAAGCACUCCGCCUGGGGAGUACGACCGCAAGGUUG